AAGUGGGUAGUUCGUCAGAAGAAAAAUCCCAUCCCUCACUCCAGCUAGCUGCAUAAAGAAAAGCAAGAACCAGGGCGGGCAGAUUUAUCAUCGAGAGCACCCACAUCCAUUUAGUUCCAGUAAGAGGACCCCCCUGGAGCUCUAAAUGGAUACCAGCCUGUCACAGGCCUGUUGCUGUGACGACCCAGUCUUUACUGAACAAGAAAAAGAAAUGAUAGUGAUUGGCAGACCUUCCUUGCCCUAGUAUGUAACACAAAGGGAGACAAAAUGAAGAGGAAGUCAGACUGUUAUUAUGGGUUUGAUGCUUCUUAACCUUACAGCACCUUACACCUGGUAAGUGUCACCCUGCAAACUUAAACCCUCAGCAGAGCGCUGUAACAUUUCAGUAUCAGAUGGGAAGAGCUAAAUCAGGCAUUAAUUUACCCAUCCUCUUGUUUCAGUUGAUUGAAAUGCAAACAGCAUUUGAGCAAAACUGCAUUAGCAGAGAAGAAAUAAACAUGAAGGGCCAAGCCCUGCUCGCCUGGCCCUCAGAAGUGAGUUUAGAGGUGUAAAAGCUGUAAGUCAAGCAGGAUUCAUCCCAGAGUGUAAAUGAAUGAGUAGCCAGCAAAGCAAGGACUGCAAGAGGGAACUGUCUGCAGCCCCUAUUCGCCCUGCAUGAGAGAGGAAAGAAUUUGAUAAAUUCUACCAUAUGGUGCCAUGCUGUAUCUUGCUAGCUAUAAAUAAUAGUCUUUCUGUUUCUGGUUUUCUUUAGCUUUCCUUGGUAGCUGUGACAGAUUUUCAGCAAUGGGUAUAAAAAAAGUGUAAAAUGCAGUUUCCCCACCUUUUUAUUUUCUUUAAACCAGAUUGAAAAGAAAAAAGACAAAAAAGAUCCAAAGAAAAGGAAUAAAAUAGGAAGUUUUCCAUUAGCUUACCAACAUGAAAAUCCAGAUAAAGUCAUUGUGAUGUUAGAAUAUUGUACAUUUAAUUGUUUCUAUUAAGAGCUGUCAAUGAAAAUGAUUGCUUAAGAGUGACAGAUAUACACCUGCAUCCACACUGCUGGAGCUAUAUCUCUGUCUUAUGCAUGUUUUUCUUAAACUUAAUUAUAAAUUUUUUUA